GUCCACGCCGUAAACGAUGAAUGCUAGCCGUCGGUGGGCAUGCCCUUCGGUGGCGCAGCUAACGCAAUAAGCAUUCCGCCUGGGGAGUACGAUCGCAAGAUUAAAACUCAAAGGAAUUGACGGGGGCCCGCACAAGCGGUGGAGCAUGUGGUUUAAUUCGACGCAACGCGAAGAACCUUACCAGGCCUUGACAUCCCGGUCGCGGCCCCUUGAAAGAGGGGCCUUCAGUUCGGCUGGACCGGUGACAGGUGCUGCAUGGCUGUCGU
rnacentral:rRNA from 1 species